rnacentral:lncRNA from 1 species
GCCGCCUGAGCCAGCGGCUGCUGGGAGGCUGUGUCCGCAAGCCAGCGGGGCGAGGCGGCUGGGCCCUGCGCGUCAGGUCCCGGCCUGGGGCACCGGGGCUGGCAGCGUCGGAGGAGGCGUGAGACCUGGGAGGAAGCUGGAGAAAAGAUGCCCUCUGAAUCUUUGUGUUUGGCUGCCCAGGCUCGCCUCGACACCGAAUGGUUGAAAACAGAUAUACAGAUGAUAGUGUCGAACCAAGUGGAACAAAGAAAGAAGAUCUGAAUGACAAAGAGAAAAAAGAUGAAGACGAAACUCCUGCACCUGUAUAUAGGGCCAAGUCAAUUCUGGAGACCUGGGUGUGGGUCAGGCAACCAGGUAAUCUUCUGAGUUUUGGCACUUUGGAAAGCUUGAUCUGACGCUCCUUUUCUAAAUAACUUGGAUGGAUUAUUCGUAUUUUAUGGUAACAAUUUAAAAAAAUGUAAUUAAAAAAAUUUAAAUAUUGUAAAAUAUACAUACCGUAAAACUUGCCAUUUUAAUCAUCUUUAUGUGUACAGUUCAUUGGCAUUAAGUAUAUUCACAUUAUUGCCCAGCCAUCACCACCAUCCAUCUCUACAACUUUUGCCCUUUCUCCAACUGAAACUCCGUAUCCAUGAAACACUAACUCCUUCUGUCCCCAAGCAACCACCAUUCUACUUUUGUCUCAGAAUUUGACUACUCAAGGUGUCUCCUAUAAGGGGAAUCAUACAGUAUUUGUCCUUUUUUGACUGGUUUAUUGAACUUCUUAGGUGUUUGGGGUUCAUCCGCAUGUGUCAAAAUUUUCUUUUAAAGGCUCAAUGCUAUUCCAUUAUAUAUGUAAGCCACAUGUUAUCCCUUCAUCAGUGGGCAAUCAGGUUGCUUUCAUCUCUUGACUGUUGUGAGUAAUGCUGCUAUGAACAUUGGUUUACGAGUGUCUUGAGUGUCUGCUUUUAAUUCUUUGUGUCUAUACCUAGGAGUGGAAUUGGUCAAUAAUGUGGAAUGCUUACAUAUUUAUUUUUUUUGAGAUGGCAUCUCGCUCUGUCGCCCAGGCUGGA